rnacentral:rRNA from 1 species
CUGCGAGUGAAGAGAGAUUAGCCCAACAUCGAAGUUCACAUGGUUUAUCCGUGUAGAACAAUGUGAUGUUAAGAUAAUUGUGAGCACAUGCUGACCAACUUGAAGUCCAAAUUAGAAUGUGGCAUGUUUGUAUGCACCCAGAGAUGGUGAAAGGCCCGUUCGAGUUGGUAUUCAGAUAUGACAGUGAUGUGUGCGAACGAUUAUCUUGGAGUCGGAUUGCUUGAGAAUGCAGUCCAAAGUUGGUGGUAAACUCCAUUUAAGGCUAAAUACCUGUACGAGUCCGAUAGUUAACAAGUACCGUGAGGGAAAGUUGAAAAGUACUCUGAAGAGAGAGUAAAUAGCACGUGAAACUACAUGGAGGUUAAUCAGAUAGAGUCCAUCUACAG